rnacentral:rRNA from 1 species
AUUGAACGCUGGCGGCAGGCCUAACACAUGCAAGUCGAACGAGUGGCGGACGGGUGAGUAAUGUCUGGGAAACUGCCCGAUGGAGGGGGAUAACUACUGGAAACGGUAGCUAAUACCGCAUACCAUCGGAUGUGCCCAGAUGGGAUUAGCUAGUAGGUGGGGUAACGGCUCACCUAGGCGACGAUCCCUAGCUGGUCUGAGAGGAUGACCAGCCACACGUGGAAUUAGACACGGUCCAGACGCCUACGGGAGGCAGCAGUGGGGAAUAUGGCACAAUGGGCGCAAGCCUGAUGCAGCCAGGCGGCGUGUAUGAAGAAGGCCUUCGGGUUGUAAAGUACUGUCAGCGAGGAGGCGUUACUCGCAGAAGAAGGACCGGCGAACGCCGUGCCAGCAGCAGCGGUAAUAC